UUGAUCCUGGCUCAGAUUGUACGCUGGCGGCAGGCCUAACACAUGCAAGUCGAGCGGCAGCACGGGUACUUGUACCUGGUGGCGAGCGGCGGACGGGUGAGUAAUGCCUAGGAAUCUGCCUGGUAGUGGGGGAUAACGCUCGGAAACGGACGCUAAUACCGCAUACGUCCUACGGGAGAAAGCAGGGGACCUUCGGGCCUUGCGCUAUCAGAUGAGCCUAGGUCGGAUUAGCUAGUUGGUGAGGUAAUGGCUCACCAAGGCGACGAUCCGUAACUGGUCUGAGAGGAUGAUCAGUCACACUGGAACUGAGACACGGUCCAGACUCCUACGGGAGGCAGCAGUGGGGAAUAUUGGACAAUGUUGUUGAAGAGCGUGAUCCAGCCAUGCCGCGUGUGUGAAGAAGGUCUUCGGAUUGUAAAGCACUUUAAGUUGGGAGGAAGGGCAGUUACCUAAUACGUAAUUGUUUUGACGUUAC
rnacentral:rRNA from 1 species